GAUGAACGCUAGCGGCAGGCUUAAUACAUGCAAGUCGAGGGGGCAGCAAUGUCACCGGCGGACGGGUGCGUAACGCGUAUGAAACCUCCUUUAUCAGGGGGAUAGCCCGGGGAAACCCGGAUUAAUACCGCAUAAUAUAUUGAAUGGCAUCAUUUGAUAUUGAAGAUUUAUUGGUAUAGAGAUGGUCAUGCGUAGGAUUA
rnacentral:rRNA from 1 species